ensembl:lncRNA
AGUCUCUGGAGUGUAUGCAAUAGUGAUGGUCAUCUUGGCCAGCCAUCAGCUGGGGCUUGCAUUUCCACAUCCAUUACUCUGAUAGGAGACCUCUCAACGCCAAGAGACAUGUUGUUCCUGGCUUUCUCUGUUUCAAGUGAAAUGUUUAGUGCUGACUUUCAGUUUUAAGCUUCACCUCUUCAGAGUUGACAUAGAUUUUUAGUUGCUGUCCUGGCUGGCUGGUGCACACUUGUUUUCUGUUGGCCACCCAUCUUUUAUGCUCCCUGAGUGUCUACACAGCAGCCAGAGGAAUCAUAAACUCAGAAUGGCAUUGGGAUGAUUAUCUUCCUAAAUGAGGCAGCUAAUUAAAAUCCACGCUUCUACGAAAUGAUGUCUUAGAUUUAUUGAAGAGGUAAAGGAGCUUCAUGGUCUUCAUGGUGAUGUAUUCCUUCUCUCAUCUUAAGACGUGAGAAAACAAUGAAUGAAGAGGAGUGCUACUCUGAACCCCACCUGACACCAAUUCACUCUUCCCUACAGUAUGUUUGUGACUUUAUGUGAGGAAUUAAUAAGUGGGCAGAAAUAAUAGCAAGCUAAUAUCACAUAUCUAUUAUGUUUCUCAAACAGGUUUGAAAUAAAUUUUGGAACUUGUG